AAACAAAAAUGUCAAACUAAACAUAUAAAUAUCAUAAGUUAUUGUUUGCAUAGUGAUGCAUUUAAAUAAUUUUAAAUAUUAUUUACAAUUAGCAGUGUAUAAAUAUAUCCUGUAUAAAACAUACAAAGGCAAAAGGUAAAAUAAAUGAAUCAAUGCUCAUUUUCAACCGUAGGAAGAAAGCAAUCACAAUCGGUGCUACUUGUAUAAUCUCUCACAGAGAAACAUAACCCCUUAAGGACACAUGGCAUGUGUGACAUGUCAUGAUUCCCUUUUAUUCCAGAAGUUUGGUCCUUAAGGGGUUAAACUUUAUAAAAGUUAAAACAUAAAAACUAAAUGCUGUUUACUUUGUCUGGUAUAUAUGUAGAGCUAUAUUAUUUUGGAUAUGGACAUUGUGUGAAGAUCUAUUUUUGUUUAGAACUGAUAAUGCAUUUUUGUUACCCACAAUGCAUUGCAAGCAAUCCCAGAAUGCAUUACAUACCGGUUCUAUAGAGCUAUGCAUUUCAUUGGAAUAUGACCAGCACAAUGUGCGUAUAACAUAUUAUUACUAUACCAGAUGCUUAUAGUUAACAGCAUUCUGCUUUGUACUUAGUACAUACAUGCAGGAUACUGGGUUGUAUAACAGAUUAUGCUA